rnacentral:rRNA from 1 species
AUUGAACGCUGGCGGUAUGCUUAACACAUGCAAGUCGAACGAGUGGCGGACGGCUGAGUAACGCAUAGGAAUCUACCUUUUAGUCUAGGAAAACUACCCGAAAGGGUGGCUAAUACUGGAUGCUAAGAGAUGAGCCUAUGUGGGAUUAGCUAGUUGGUGGGGUAAUGGCUCACCACGGCGACGUUCUCUAUCUGGUUUGAGAGGCUGGUCAGCCACACUGGGACUGAGACACGGCCCAGACUACUACGGGAGGCAGCAGUGGGGAAUAGUGGAUAGUUGGCGAAAGCCUGAUCCAGCAAUAACGUGUGUGUGAAGAAGGCCCGAGGGUUGUAAAGCACUUUGGUUAGUGAGAUGUUACCUAAAGAAUAAGCACCGGCUAACUCCGUGCCAGCAGCCGCGGUAAUAC